AACGAACGCUGGCGGCAGGCCUGACACAUGCAAGUCGAGCGCCCGGAUUUAUCCCGGAGCGGCGCACGGGUGAGUAACGCGUGGGAACAUGCCCUGAAGUACGGACCAACCUGGGGAAACCUUGGCUAAUACCGUAUACGCCCUGAGGGGGCAAGAUUUAUCGCAUUGGGAUUGGCCCGCGUUGGAUUAGCUGGUUGGUGUGGUAACGGCGCACCAAGGCGACGAUCCAUAACUGGACUGAGAGGAUGACCAGUCACACUGGGACUGAGACACGGCCCAGACUCCUACGGGAGGCAGCAGUGGGGAAUAUUGGACAAUGGGCGAAAGCCUGAUCCAGCCAUGCCGCGUGAGUGAAGAAGGCCUUCGGGUUGUAAAGCUCUUUCAGCGGGGACGAUGAUGACGGUACCCGCAGAAGAAGCCCCGGCUAACUUCGUGCCAGCAGCCGCCGUAA
rnacentral:rRNA from 1 species